rnacentral:misc_RNA from 1 species
GUGCAUAUAGACUCAUCAUAGGCAACAUAACUAUGGGUAAACACUAAUGAUGAUAAUGGUGUGAAUCCCCCAUUUUCUCUUAAACAGGACAUAACAACAGUCAGUGGGAAACAGUUGCACAAAACAAAAUAUGCAAAACCAUGUAUACUUCAAAAAGUGUGUCUGAACUAUAAGUUUUUUUAUGUUGCCAUAUUUACAUUUAUAUCUUAUAGUUUCCCAUUUUCUACAAAAUUUAGAAACUCCAGCAUCAGAGAGAUUCCCAAAGACAAUCAUCAUUCUCCAACAGAGUGCUGAUGUCCCUGUCUUUUG